rnacentral:rRNA from 1 species
AGUGAACGCUGGCGGUAGGCCUAACACAUGCAAGUCGAACGGCAGCACAGUAAGAGCUUGCUCUUACGGGUGGCGAGUGGCGGACGGGUGAGGAAUACAUCGGAAUCUACUUUUUCGUGGGGGAUAGCGUAGGGAACCUUACGCUAAUACCGCAUACGACCUACGGGUGAAAGCAGGGGAUCUUCGGACCUUGCGCGAUUGAAUGAGCCGAUGUCGGAUUAGCUAGUUGGCGGGGUAAAGGCCCACCAAGGCGACGAUCCGUAGCUGGUCUGAGAGGAUGAUCAGCCACACUGGAACUGAGACACGGUCCAGACUCCUACGGGAGGCAGCAGUGGGGAAUAUUGGACAAUGGGCGCAAGCCUGAUCCAGCCAUACCGCGUGGGUGAAGAAGGCCUUCGGGUUGUAAAGCCCUUUUGUUGGGAAAGAAAAGCAGCAGGUUAAUACCCCGCUGUUCUGACGGUACCCAAAGAAUAAGCACCGGCUAACUUCGUG